rnacentral:rRNA from 1 species
UAGGGAAUCUUCCGCAAUGGACGAAAGUCUGACGGAGCAACGCCGCGUGAGUGAAGAAGGAUUUCGGAUCGUAAAGCUCUGUUGUUAAGGAAGAACGAGUGUGAGAAUGGAAAGUUCAUGCUGUGACGGUACUUAACCAGAAAGGGACGGCUAACUACGUGCCAGCAGCCGCGGUAAUACGUAGGUCCCGAGCGUUGUCCGGAUUUAUUGGGCGUAAAGCGAGCGCAGGCGGUUAGAAAAGUCUGAAGUGAAAGGCAGUGGCUCAACCAUUGUAGGCUUUGGAAACUGUUUAACUUGAGUGCAGAAGGGGAGAGUGGAAUUCCAUGUGUAGCGAUGAAAUGCGUAGAUAUAUGGAGGAACACCGGUGGCGAAAGCGGCUCUCUGGUCUGUAACUGACGCUGAGGCUCGAAAGCGUGGGGAGCGAACAGG